GAUGAACGCUAGCGAUAGGCUUAACACAUGCAAGUCGAGGGGCAGCAUGGUCUUAGCUUGCUAAGACUGAUGGCGACCGGCGCACGGGUGCGUAACGCGUAUGCAACUUGCCUCACAGAGGGGGAUAACCCGUCGAAAGACGGACUAAUACCGCGUACACUCUAUGUUGGGCAUCCAAUGUAGAGGAAAUGAAAUUCGCUGUGAGAUAGGCAUGCGUCCCAUUAGCUAGUUGGUGAGGUAACGGCUCACCAAGGCGACGAUGGGUAGGGGAACUGAGAGGUUGAACCCCCACACUGGUACUGAGACACGGACCAGACUCCUACGGGAGGCAGCAGUGAGGAAUAUUGGUCAAUGGGCGAGAGCCUGAACCAGCCAAGUCGCGUGAAGGAUGACUGUCUUAUGGAUUGUAAACUUCUUUUAUACGGGAAUAACAAGAGCCACGUGUGGCUCCCUGCAUGUACCGUAUGAAUAAGCAUCGGCUAACUCCGUG
rnacentral:rRNA from 1 species